UCAAUAGACCAUAGUUAAACUUUGAUUACAUUUACUACUUUGUAAGAAGACAAUGAAAACCCUUAUCCCAAUGACCCAAACUGAGACAGCAGCAUGGGGCCAUGACUCACCUUGGGCUCUCUCCUGCCACCACCGCCAGAGGAGGGGUCUCGGCCCCACGCAGCCUGGCCUGGCCUUCGGCUUCCACCCUAUAAGGGAGACCCAAGAGACAAGGUGACACCCACAGUGAGACGCCAUCGACUGGGCUCCUCGGGCAGUCGGCGCUGCCCCGUUGGGCUCGAGGAUGGAAAGGCAGGAAGAGAAAGGCAUUCCUCCCCGCACGGCCACUGGGCAACCCAAGGGGCCCGCCCCACCCAACGAGGCCUCGCCAUCCCUCGGGGAGCCUCUAGGACCCGUCCCCUGGCUUUCGGUCUCUCUGGGCCGCGGAGGACCAGCUGGGCCCCUGUGCAGGACGUCCAAGAGACCUUCCUAGCCAGAGCUGUCCCAUCCCUGGGACGCCAGAGCCCUUCUGGACUGCUGGCCUCGCCCGCAUCUGCCGCCCACCCUCCACCAGCCCCUCGCACUGCCCUGCCCAGCCCAGCCCCGACAAGCCCUGGGAUGCUGCUCACACUGGCCUUCUGGAUCCAGAGACAACGCUGCCAUCCUCGCCUGCUCAUCCAGGAAGGAGCCUGCCUUCGGGUCCGGCGGCUGCACACUGAGGAGUACAAAGCCAAGAGCAGGAGACCCAAUGGCACAGCCAUUCUCCAGGCUCGCGGCUUCCACACACACACCUGGCCAUAGCCUGGCAUGCGGCAUACCAUGGGGGUCACCAAGGACCUGGCAAAUGCCUUCACUCCCUUUCUCUCUAGAUUCAGUUCUCUGAUACUGCCGGACGGGUGCUCACAUUUUCCCAUUGGGCUAACACCAGGAAAACGCUGGAAUGCCCGUGCUCUGUCAGUCACCCUCGUCGUUUCCUGACCUCGGCCUAUUGGGUCACUGCUUUGUGGACAUUGAACCAGAUUCCUCCUUCAGUGGACCUCGGAGUUUCAGACAGGUUUUCAUCGUACAGGACGCAUAUGCCACCAGGAGUCAUCUUCAAUCCAAUACUGUCCCUCCUGCGUUCCUUUAGCUUGACCUUCUUUGUUGAUCAAUUUAUUAAAGGGCUGGGUAAGAUAUCAAUACCCUACCUGAACUUCCAGGGGUCCGUGGGAUGGGAAGGUCUCAUGAUACCUGUCACCAUGGACUGUGCAAUUUGGUCUUGCCUUUACUCCCUCUCCCUUUCGUUUCCUUUUCU
rnacentral:lncRNA from 1 species